rnacentral:lncRNA from 1 species
CCAAAUAUCUAAAAGGAAGAACCCCUUCACUGAAUCCCAGACUGCUGAUAAUAGCUGCUUUGAACCCUUGAGAGACUCCAGCUAGAUAGAUUGAACUUUUGCUAGGAUUUGCUUCCAGUCCUGAUGCCUUGGAGAACUUUGAGAAUGCUUGAUAAAGUAUCUGAAUAGAAAUAGUAUCAGCUCGACAAAACAAAAGUAGAUCAUCAGCAAAACAAACAUGUGAGCAAUUCAACUUUCUGCAUUUAGGAUGGAAAUUAAAAUUCCCAUUCAUGUGCAAUUGUCCCAAUAUUCUACUCAAA